rnacentral:rRNA from 2 species
UGGGGAAUAUUGGACAAUGGGCGCAAGCCUGAUCCAGCCAUACCGCGUGGGUGAAGAAGGCCUUCGGGUUGUAAAGCCCUUUUGUUGGGAAAGAAAUCCAGCUGGCUAAUACCCGGUUGGGAUGACGGUACCCAAAGAAUAAGCACCGGCUAACUUCGUGCCAGCAGCCGCGGUAAUACGAAGGGUGCAAGCGUUACUCGGAAUUACUGGGCGUAAAGCGUGCGUAGGUGGUCGUUUAAGUCCGUUGUGAAAGCCCUGGGCUCAACCUGGGAACUGCAGUGGAUACUGGGCGACUAGAGUGUGGUAGAGGGUAGCGGAAUUCCUGGUGUAGCAGUGAAAUGCGUAGAGAUCAGGAGGAACAUCCAUGGCGAAGGCAGCUACCUGGACCAACACUGACACUGAGGCACGAAAGCGUGGGGAGCAAACAGG